rnacentral:rRNA from 1 species
UGAGUGCGAGCUGCUACGGCAGCGAAGUUGGUGACGUCAAGCUUCCAAGAAAAGCCCUAUACCCGUUAAGGCAUCAUGGCCUGUACCCGAAACCGACACAGGUGGGGUGGUAGAGAAUACCGAGGGGCGCGAGGUAACUCUCUCUAAGGAACUCGGCAAAAUGGCCCCGUAACUUCGGGAGAAGGGGUGCCACCGCAAGGUGGUCGCAGUGAAGAGGCCCAGGCGACUGUUUACCAAAAACACAGGUCUCCGCUAAGUCGCAAGACGAUGUAUGGGGGCUGACGCCUGCCCAGUGCCGGAAGGUUAAGGAAGCUGGUCAGCGCAAGCGAAGCUAGCGACUGAAGCCCCGGUGAACGGCGGCCGUAACUAUAACGGUCCUAAGGUAGCGAAAUUCCUUGUCGGGUAAGUUCCGACCCGCACGAAAGGCGUAACGAUCUGGGCGCUGCCUCGGAGAGAGGCUCGGCGAAAUAGAAUUGUCUGUGAAGAUGCGGACUACGUGCACCCGGACAGAAAGACCCUAUGAAGCUUUACUGUAGCUUGGCAUUGUGCCCGGGCUCUGAAUGCGCAGGAUAGGUGGGAGGCUUUGAUCAUCGGCUUGCGGGUCGAUGUGAGCCAACGGUGAGAUACCACUCUUUCAGAGCUAGGGUUCUAACAGUCACCCGUUAUCCGGGGACUGGACAGUAUCAGGUGGGCAGUUUGACUGGGGCGGUCGCCUCCUAAAAGGUAACGGAAGCGCGCAAAGGUCUGCUCAGGCUGGUUGGAAAUCAGCCGACGAGUGUAAAAGCAGAAGCAGGCUUGACUGUGAGACCUACAAGUCGAACAGGGAGGAAACUCGGCUUUAGUGAUCCGACGGUUCUGCGUGGAAGGGCCGUCGCUCAACGGAUAAAAGUUACUCUAGGAUAACAGGCUGAUCUCCCCCAAGAGUUCACAUCGACGGGGAGGUUUGGCACCUCGAUGUCGGCUCAUCGCAACCUGGGGCUGAAGUCGGUCCCAAGGGUUGGGCUGUUCGCCCAUUAAAGCGGUACGCGAGCUGGGUUCAGAACGUCGUGAGACAGUUCGGUCCAUAUCCGGUGCAUGCGCAGGAAUAUUGAGAGGAGUUCUCCCUAGUACGAGAGGACCGGGAGGAACGCACCUCUGGUGUACCAGUUAUCGUGCCAACGGUAAACGCUGGGUAGCCAUGUGCGGAGAGGAUAACCGCUGAAAGCAUCUAAGUGGGAAGCCCACCUCAAGAUGAGUAUUCCCAUGGCGUUAGCCAGUAAGGUCACGGGAAGAACACCCGUUGAUAGGCUCUAUGUGGAAGCGCAGUAAUGCGUGAAGCAGAGGAGUACUAAUAGACCGAGGGCUUGAUC